AUUUUUGGAAGGUAUUUGCCAUUGUGGAAGAAUACAAGUGAGAUAUCUUAGGGUUGACAAAUAGUUGACAGGGUAUUCAAUAUGGCGAUGACAGUGUGAACAAUAUGGCAUACAACACCGAAUGGCCAGAAGUUGCAAAACUACGACCCGAAUGAAACGCUUCGUGAAAAUCCAAGGUUGCCAAGUGGUUGAUGGAAAGUAUAAAA